AACGCACAUUGCGCCCGCCAGUAUUCUGGCGGGCAUGCCUGUCCGAGCGUCAUUUCAACCCUCAGGCCCUGGUUGCCUGGUGUUGGGGCGCCGCGCACCCCUAGCGGGCGCGGGCCCCGAAAGUCAGUGGCGGGCUCGCCAGGACUCCGAGCGCAGUAAUUUUGCCUCGCUUUGGAGCGCCUGGUGGGUUACCCAGCCGUAAAACACCCCAAAUUCUAAAGGUUGACCUCGGAUCAGGUAGGAAUACCCGCUGAACUUAA
rnacentral:misc_RNA from 1 species